CCCCAGCAACUACUUCCAGCCUCCUAAAUUGACACAGCGAUUCACACACCCUACCUCUUAAUGGUACUGCCGCAACAGGUUCAGCUGAAGAGGUAUGCCGGUUUGAUGAUGGGCUGAUGGUCCAGGACCUCGGAUGGAUCCACACACAUCCAGCAUGGCAGACCCCUGUGCACAUCCAAAGUCAUGUUUCAGCAAAAACCAAACAUACAAUAAUUCAGAUUGGAAAUAUGGAUCCAUCGCACCUCCACCGACCUGCGCCAGGCCAUAGCCCAUAUAAUCCAUAAAUUCCCAAAAUCUGAAGUCUGGACGGCGAGAGAAUAUCCAAAGUUUGCCAAUAAGGAUGCAAUUUCGUCAGUCCGGCGAACUCCCAACAGCACCGCCAUUGUUAGGUCCUUUGAGAGAAUCAGGGCUCAUUACCGUGUCAAGCCUUAAAUAAGGAACAUGGCACCCAUCCAAUCCAAAUAAGCUUAAACAGGAAACGGGGAAUAGACGAUGGACGGAUGGACGGAUGGCUGGGAGAUCUGUAGAGUAGGAACAACAUUCAUGGUGGCAACGACCCAGGAUGAAGUAAAUGGGGGCGUCUCUGCUCCCAUGUGGUUGCAUUAAGCUGCGCCUCC
rnacentral:lncRNA from 1 species